AGGUCAUUUCAAAGAGGGCUUGUGGAGUCAAAACCAGGAGCUUGUAAUACUGUGACCAAAGAUUGAAGUUCUCCAUAGGAUGUAAUCGUCACUCAAUGGUGCUAUGCUUUCCUGAGGAGAUAUAAGA